rnacentral:rRNA from 1 species
UUUAAGGUCUAACCUGCCCAAUGAGGAUUUAAAUGGCCGCAGUAUUUUGACUGUGCAAAGGUAGCAUAAUUAUUAGUUUUUUAAUUGAAAGCUUGUAUGAAGGGUUGGACGAGAUAAAAUCUGUCUUUAUUUAAAUUAAAGUAUAAUUUAACUUUUAAGUCAAAAGGCUUAAAUGUUUAUAAAAGACGAGAAGACCCUAUAGAUCUUUAUUUAGUUAAGAUUUUAAUAAUUUAGGAUUAUUUUAAUUUGGAGUCUUAAUUGAAUUUUAUUGGGGUAAUAUAAAGAUUAAGUGAAUUCUUUUUAUUUAUGACAUUAAUUUAUGAAUAUAUGAUCCAUUAAUAUUGAUUAUAAGAUUAAGUUACCUUAGGGAUAACAGCGUAAUUUUUUUGGAGAGCUCAUAUCGAUAAGAAAGUUUGCGACCUCGAUGUUGGAUUAAAAAUUAGCUUGGGUGCAGAAGCUCAAGAUUUUGGUCUGUUCGACCAUUAAAUUUUUACAUGAUCUGAGUUCAGACCGGCGUAAGCCAGGUCGGUUUCUAUCUUUAUUCAGAUAAAAUAUUUUAGUACGAAAGGACCAAGUAUUUAAUAUAAUUAUAUUUAUUUUUU